rnacentral:rRNA from 1 species
UGGGGCAUAUUGCACAAUGGGCGCAAGCCUGAUGCAGCCAUGCCGCGUGUGUGAAGAAGGCCUUCGGGUUGUAAAGCACUUUCAGCGGGGAGGAAGGCGUUAAGGUUAAUAACCUUGGCGAUUGACGUUACCCGCAGAAGAAGCACCGGCUAACUCCGUGCCAACAGCCGCGGUAAUACGGAGGGUGCAAGCGUUAAUCGGAAUUACUGGGCGUAAAGCGCACGCAGGCGGUCUGUCAAGUCGGAUGUGAAAUCCCCGGGCUUAACCUGGGAACUGCAUUCGAAACUGGCAGGCUAGAGUCUUGUAGAGGGGGGUAGAAUUCCAGGUGUAGCGGUGAAAUGCGUAGAGAUCUGGAGGAAUACCGGUGGCGAAGGCGGCCCCCUGGACAAAGACUGACGCUCAGGUGCGAAAGCGUGGGGAGCAAACAGG